AUUUAAUAGAACUGCAACGUAUACAUGCUCAUCGUUUCCAAAAGCUGUUUAAUUUGACUGUUCUCCUCCAGCAGAAUGAAGAGGUCUGUUAGCAGAAAUAAUCAACAGAACUGUCAACAUCAUUAAUGAGAAUUUUAAUGUUCCUGCCUAACAAGACUGGUCAAGGGCCUCCUGCCAAUCACCUGCACUGGGGCCAUUCCUGAGCAAAGGUGUCUGGGAUGGGGCGUUUUUCCUGGGAUGUGUCAUAUGUUUUCACAGGUGAGAGACGCUAAAGCAUCCCUUUAAUUCCAAAGGGCCUAUACAAUUUCCAGAACAGCUCGGAGAUAUCACACCGAGGUAAAAAUGGCUCACCAUGGUUUAAAAUGACUUGGGUUCAUUUUUUGAAAAGGCUGUAUGAAUUCUGGGAUGGUCUAGCUAAUGUUCAAGGCUUCAUUUUUCUUUAUUCAACAGAGCUGGUGGAAGUGAUCCACCUUUGGAAUUGGCGCACCAACUUCCUUAUAAAAAAAUGUAGGUAGGGUCUACGAUAUAUCAAGCAGUUUUGUUUUUGUUUUUAACCCUACCCGAGGGUAUUUUAAAUU